GACGAACGCUGGCGGCGUGCUUAACACAUGCAAGUCGAACGGAAAGGCCUUGCUUUUGUGGGGUGCUCGAGUGGCGAACGGGUGAGUAACACGUGAGUAACCUGCCCUUGACUUUGGGAUAACUUCAGGAAACUGGGGCUAAUACCGGAUAGGAGCUCCUGCUGCAUGGUGGGGGUUGGAAAGUUUCGGCGGUUGGGGAUGGACUCGCGGCUUAUCAGCUUGUUGGUGGGGUAGUGGCUUACCAAGGCUUUGACGGGUAGCCGGCCUGAGAAGGUGACCGGCCACAUUGGGACUGAGAUACGGCCCAGACUCCUACGGGAGGCAGCAGUGGGGAAUAUUGCACAAUGGGCGGAAGCCUGAUGCAGCAACGCCGCGUGCGGGAUGACGGCCUUCGGGUUGUAAACCGCUUUCGCCUGUGACGAAGCGUGAGUGACGGUAAUGGGUAAAGAAGCACCGGCUAACUACGUG
rnacentral:rRNA from 1 species